rnacentral:rRNA from 1 species
CACGUAGGGUGCGAGCGUUGUCCGGAAUUAUUGGGCGUAAAGAGCUCGUAGGCGGUCUGUCGCGUCGGCUGUGAAAACUCGGGGCUCAACCCCGAGCCUGCAGUCGAUACGGGCAGACUAGAGUCCGGCAGGGGAGACUGGAAUUCCUGGUGUAGCGGUGAAAUGCGCAGAUAUCAGGAGGAACACCGGUGGCGAAGGCGGGUCUCUGGGCCGGAACUGACGCUGAGGAGCGAAAGCGUGGGGAGCGAACAGG